rnacentral:lncRNA from 1 species
AUCAAAUUCAAUAAGCCUUUCAAUCUAAAAUAAAAGUAUGAAGAUUCUGCUUCUAAUCACUCUUCCAUUCAUAUCUUGUAUCAUCUUAAUUCUUCAACGUCUGUAAAAACAGUAAAUAGGAGGUAAUGAGCUAGACAGCCCAGUAAGCAAUGAUCACUUCUCAACAGAUUUCAUCAGGCAUUUAAGUAAAUAAUCAUUUAUAGAAAAUAAGCAUAUAGAGUUCAUCAAUUCGAAAUCAAUUUCAAUUAUGCAACAUAAUUCAU